AGACUGUCAUUAUUCAUGCAGCAGCCCGAAUGAGCAGAGCUGGUGAUGGCCCCUUACCUGCAUCCAGACUCUCUCACCCAUGCUCAGGCCAGAAUCCCUAGAGCGGCAGUGUUCAGUCUGUGGGUUGUGACCCCCUUGAUGCCAUGUAUCGGAUAUCCUGCAUAUCAGAUAUUUACAUUGUGAUUCAUAACGGUAGCAAAAUUACAGGUAUGAGGUAGCAAUGAUAACAAUGUCAUGGUGGGCAGUCACCCCAGCAUGAGGAACUGUAUUAAAAGGUCAGAGCAUUAGGAAGGUUGAGAACAGGUGCUCUCGAGUCUCUCUUGGCUUCCAUACACCGUGACCCCACUCAUCAGCAAAUAAAUCUGCUGUCAAACCACAUCU
rnacentral:lncRNA from 1 species